rnacentral:rRNA from 1 species
UUCCAGACUCCUACGGGAGGCAGCAGUAAGGGAUAUUGGUCAAUGGGGGAAACCCUGAACCAGCAACGCCGCGUGAGGGAAGGCGGUUUUCGGAUUGUAAACCUCUGUCCUCUGUGAAGAUGAUGACGGUAGCAGAGGAGGAAGCUCCGGCUAACUACGUGCCAGCAGCCGCGGUAAUACGUAGGGGGCAAGCGUUAUCCGGAUUUACUGGGUGUAAAGGGAGCGUAGACGGCAUGGCAAGUCAGAUGUGAAAGCCCGGGGCUCAACCCCGGGACUGCAUUUGAAACUGUCAGGCUGGAGUGCAGGAGAGGUAAGUGGAAUUCCUAGUGUAGCGGUGAAAUGCGUAGAUAUUAGGAGGAACACCAGUGGCGAAGGCGGCUUACUGGACUGUAACUGACGUUGAGGCUCGAAAGCGUGGGGAGCAAACAGGAUUAGAUACCCCAGUAUA